rnacentral:rRNA from 1 species
UACAGAGGUCUCAAGCGUUUGUUCGGAUUCAUUGGGCGUAAAGGGUGCGUAGGCGGCGCGGUAAGUCGGGUGUGAAAUCUCGGGGCUUAACUCCGAAACUGCAUUCGGUACUGCCGUGCUUGAGGACUGGAGAGGAGACUGGAAUUUACGGUGUAGCGGUGAAAUGCGUAGAUAUCGUAAGGAAGACCAGUGGCGAAGGCGGGUCUCGUGGACAG